rnacentral:lncRNA from 1 species
CACCUUCUACAGAACCCCUCAUCCACCACCUCAAGCAAGAGCAUACGCUAAAAUCAUCAAAUGGCCCGAUAAGCAGGAAUUCUCCAUCCUUUUUCUUCUUGCCCAUUAGCAAUAUUCUUGAAACUUGACUCUUUGGGAUUCUUAUAUGAUACCACUUAAUUUCUCAAAUCCUGUUUCUCAGACCCUCCUAGUCCACCUUUUCACUAAACAAGGGCAUUUCCCCAAAUUCAAUCCUUGGUGUGUUCUCUCUACUUCUCUAUUCUCCCUCCUCCAGAGGUAACAUCUGAUGUUUCAAUUUUGGCAGUUACCUGAGCAAGUGAUCCUGAUAUGUAGGUGCUGUUGGCCUCCAGUCUCACACAUCAACUCACCAAUCAUGGAGAAGAAGUUAGAUGACUUCCUGUCACCUGUCAUUUGUGCAUUUUCUCCAAAUCCUCAAUCCCUUCCAGUCAAUUUGAAAAUAGAAGGCUUGGCAAGGUGGCUCACAACUGUAUUCUUCUUAGCACUUUGGGAGGCUGAAGUGGGAGGAUCAUUUGAGCCCAGGAGUUUGAGAUCAUCCUGGACAACACAGUGAGACUCCAUCUCUACAAGAUAAAUAUAUAAAUAAAUAAAUAAAUAAAUAAAUAAAUAAGACUGGUGCAGUGGCACAUGCCAGUAGUCCCAGCUACUUGGGAAGCUGAGGUGAAAGGAUCGCUUGAGCCCAGGAGGUCGAAGCUGCGGUUGUGAUCAUACCACUGCACUCCAGCCUGAGCAACAAAGACAAGGUAAGAUCCCCCCACUUUUU